AGGGGCCGUCUCUCGGGCCACGUCGCUGAACACGGCUCUUCCUAACUCACGCUGCGAUUGGAGGCCCGGCACCGCUGCCAGUGAAAUAAAGACCUUUGUUUGUCCAUGCCAGGUGCAUAAAGCCAGCUUCCACAACAAUGCUCAGAGGGCCUCUCGGAGCCAGAUGAAGGGAGAAGAGUCUCUUUGUGUGACUUGGGGGCGUGGGCUGGUGGCGGGGGGUGCUCGAUCCCUGGGCCGCACCGCAACCUCCCACCCAGCACACGCGCACACAGCAUCAGACUGCGUGAGACGGCGCCGCACGCGCACGGGACGACUUUGCGAGCGAUCGGCACGUUCACCUGCGCCGUUCCCGCACGCGGUCGCUCGUCAGACGCGACUAUUAUUACUUCGCAAAUGAGCGGGUACGGGUGCCCGGGCCCCGUUCGCAGUACUACCCCUUGGGCAGAGUGCAUUCUACAGAGCUGGCCUUGAAUUUCAGAGGAUGGAGAGAGAAGCACAGAAGAGGCAAAGUGUCUCCAUGUCCCUGCAGAGCCCACUAAGUAGACAGACCAGUAUGCACAGUGAAGCUAACAGAGAAACUGGCCCUCAUUCAGGGAAGGGGAGGAUAUGGUUUCCAGCCAAUCAGACUGUCUGUAUUCACAUUCCUGUUAGUUUGAGCACAAAGGGCCCGUGGUUUAUUAUUAGUCAGAAUUAUAACAACUAACAAGCUGUUUGCCUGAAUUAUGUUGCAACACAAUUACACUGGAUCACUUUGUACAGUGCAACAGGUCGGCAUCUACCAACAUGUGAGAAAUAAAUGUAAUUAACAAGGGUGAGAACAUUUGUUAUUUGCUUUGAUAAAAUGUCAAAUCAUACAUUUCUGUGG